rnacentral:rRNA from 1 species
GCCAAAAACACAUAAUUAACACAAACAUCUAUAGUCUAUAAAACAAAUCAUUUGACCAUCUUAGUAGAGGCGAUCGAACAGUCACAAAUCACCUAAAAGUACCGUAAGGGAACCAUUUUAAGCAAAAAACAGCAAAGACUAGCCCUUGCACCUUUCGCAUCAUGGUUUAGCAAGUAACAAAGGCAAGAUGAAUCACAGUCUAUACCCCGAAACCAGAUGAGCUACCUUAAAGCAGCCUAAAGGGCGCACCCUUCUCUGUGGCAAAAGAGUGGGAAGACUUCAAGGUAGAGGCGAAACACCUACCGAAUCUGGAGAUAGCUGGCUACCCAAAAAAGAAUAUAAGUUCUACUUUAGACCUUCACACCCCCCCCUAGGCAUCUAAAGAUAAUCAAUAGGGGUACAGCCCUAUUGAAACAGGAUACAACCUGAACUUGAGAGAACCUACUACCCGCACACCACCCGUGGGCCUUUAAGCAGCCACCCAACAAAAUAUCGUUAAAGAAUUACCCGAAACUAAUCCAAUACUUAACCAAAAACUCCAAGGUUUACUAAAGGUAAGCCUAUCCCCAUAGGAAAUACCCUGCUAAAACUAAUAAUAAGACAACCUCUCUCCACGCACUUAUCCGCUAGAAACAGAAAAUCUACUAGUUAUUAACAGACCCCCCACAGGACACAUCAACACAAUUCACCAACCCAUCACCCCACUGUGACCCCAACACAGGUGCGUUAAAAAGAAAGACCAAACACUACAAAAGGAACUCGGCAACCCAAGACCCCAACUGUUUAACAAAAACAUAACCUUUAGCCACAAACYAGUAUUAAAGGCAACGCCUGCCCAGUGAACAAUUAAACGGCCGCGGUACCCUAACCGUGCAAAGGUAGCGUAAUCACUUGUCUAUUAAUUGUAGACCCGCAUGAAAGGCAAAAUGAGGGCCUAACUGUCUCUUGUAGUACGUCAAUUAAACUGAUCUUCUAGUCCAAAAGCUAGAAUACCCCCAUAAGACCAGAAGACCCUGUGAAGCUUAAACUAAACUAUUAAAUCUUAUAAUAGCUCCUUUCGGUUGGGGCGACCUUGGAAAAAAAAAGAACUUCCAAUGCAGAAUCCUAUAAAUUCCACCAGGCCGACAGGCCACUAAUAGACCCAGCACAGCUGACAAUUGAACCAAGUUACUCCAGGGAUAACAGCGCUAUCUUCUUCAAGAGCCCAUAUCAAAAAGAAGGUUUACGACCUCGAUGUUGGAUCAGGACAUCCUGAUGGUGCAGCCGCUAUCAAAGGUUCGUUUGUUCAACGAUUAAUAGUCCUACGUGAUCUGAGUUCAGACCGGAGUAAUCCAGGUCGGUUUCUAUCUAUGAUACGCUCCACCCAGUACGAAAGGACCGGUAUAGCAAAGCCAAUACUACAAGCAAGCUCUUACAAGUAACACCACCGACCAAGACAAGGUCAAUUAAGGCACUAAUCCUUAAUAU